AGUGAACGCUGGCGGUAGGCCUAACACAUGCAAGUCGAACGGCAGCACAGUAAGAGCUUGCUCUUACGGGUGGCGAGUGGCGGACGGGUGAGGAAUACGUCGGAAUCUACUUUUUCGUGGGGGAUAACGUAGGGAAACUUACGCUAAUACCGCAUACGACCUACGGGUGAAAGCAGGGGAUCUUCGGACCUUGCGCGAUUGAAUGAGCCGAUGUCGGAUUAGCUAGUUGGCGGGGUAAAGGCCCACCAAGGCGACGAUCCGUAGCUGGUCUGAGAGGAUGAUCAGCCACACUGGAACUGAGACACGGUCCAGACUCCUACGGGAGGCAGCAGUGGGGAAUAUUGGACAAAGGGCGCAAGCCUGAUCCAGCCAUACCGCGUGGGUGAAGAAGGCCUUCGGGUUGUAAAGCCCUUUUGUUGGGAAAGAAAAGCAGCAGGUUAAUACCCCGCUGUUCUGACGGUACCCAAAGAAUAAGCACCGGCUAACUUCGUG
rnacentral:rRNA from 1 species